GUUAAUACACAAUAGGACACAAAGUGCUGGACUAACUCAGCAGGUCAGGUAACAUGUGAGAGAAGGAACUGCAGAUAUUGGUUUAAACCAAAGACAGACACAAAAAGCUAGAGUAACUCAGCGGGACAGGCAGCAUCUCUGGAGAGAAGGAAUGGGGGACGUUUCGGGUCGAGACCCUUCUUCAGACUAACAGUGAGGAGGGUUUGAUUGAUUGGAUUGGAGAUACAACAUGGAAACGAGCCCUUCGGCCCACUGUCCAUGCCAGCUAUUGAACACCCAGUCACACUAGCUUCAUGCUAUCCCACUUUCUCAUCCACCUCCGACACAUUAUGGGCAAUUUACAGAGGUCAGUUAACCUCCAAAAGAAGGGCCUUGACCCGAAACGUCACCAGUUCCUUUUAUCCGGAGAUGCUGCCUGACUCGCUGAGUUACUCCAGUUUUUUGUGUCAGCCUGCAAACCCGCACAUCUUUGGGAUGUUGGUGGAGAUUGGAGCACUCGGAGGAAACCCACGCAUUCACAGCGAGAACAUGCAAACUCCACAGAGAGCAUCCGGUCAGGAUAGAAACCAGGUCUCUGACGUUGGGAGGCAGCAACUAUGUCUGUGUCGCCCAUAGAUGGACAAAUGGGUUUUUCAUUCACAAUAACCCCAAUAUACCUGCACCCUUUGGUCUUUAUUUAUUCUUAGUUGUUCACCCUUCAGGCAACAGGCCUUUAGGUAUUGAACUCAUCGGCACUCCUUCAAAUGAUAUCAAUUAUCAUUUUUAUGAAGCAACUUGGAAUGUUUUUGCUCUGAGAAAUGUGCCUUAUAAAAUAUACAGUAAAUACUGCAGGAAAUUCCCUACCUGGCAUACUGAAAUGGUUGAGGGAAGCAUUGCAAAGAUUUUUUUCCAGCAGCUUAAAUUUAUUGAUGCGGCAACUUUGCAUAAAUUCACAUGGAAAUGGCCCUUUCUCGGUGAGUAAGAAGCCAAGGAUCAGUCACUUAAAACAAGUUGUGGCUAUAUUAGCAGCUCACAUUUCCCUCUUUGUGUUCAUGUCCAGUCACCACUCAAGAUGACACCUUGGGCCAUACCUUAUAACCUUGCACCUCAAGAGGAGGGAGGAAGAGGCAGUAAUUUGCACCUCCCUGUGUUAAUGGACCACCGGUAGUUCCACAUUUAGUGAGUUUCUUUAUUUUCUUUCUCCUUGCUGGUGGAGCUUAUUUCCCAACACUCAACCACAGGGUGGAAUGCAUAUUCGCUGUUAGACUGAGCAACUGCUUCCAUUUAGUGAACUAAUGAAACAGUUUUCUCGCUAAUUAUUUAACUGAUACAAUUAGCAGUGAAUUAGCGUUGAAGUUGCAGGAAAAUUGGACUGAUGUGUGUCAAAGCAAUGUGAAGGCUUCCCAUCCUAAGAUUCAAUUAAAAGCAGGUGUGACAGACAAGCAUGUUAUUAUAUUCAAAACACACUGAGUUCCAUUGGCACCUCAAUGUUCAAAUGCCAGUCAAUAAGUCUCCAGCACUGUGGUGCAUCUGAAGGCGAAUUGGAGCCUCGACAAGCUUCAGUGGAUGGCUGUGCAUUAUCCGAGAUCAAAGCACCACUUGCUCUCCCAGUUAAGGCAGCUUUAUGCAGCAAUGCAUUUCCACAGACUGGAUGUGUCAUCCUAAACAGGGUAAUCCACCUUGAUGUGCAGUAAUGGGCCAGACUAAAAUGUUGAAGUAAAUGGUUUACAUGGACCUCUGUCGCAAUAAAGAUACAUCAAUGUGAGUGAUGCAUCUGAAUAUUGUGUGCUUGUAAAUGGAGAAAAUCUUUAAUUUAAAUCGCGUUUGGUGGAAUAAGUGGAUGCGGUGGCACAAAGUGAUGAAUAUUCAAGCAUAAUAAAUAAAGCUAACUGGCUGUUAAAAAAGGCAACUGUUUUUUUAAAAUUCCUGUGCAUGUAAGUGUCAGAAGUGUACAGGCCACAGAACGAAGAAAUUCUUAACGGAUUGAACAGGCCAGAUGCAGGAAAAUGUUCCCGAUGUUGGGAGAGUCCAGAACCAGGGGUCACAGUUUAAGAAUAAGGGGUAGACCAUUUAGGAUUGAAAUGAGGAAAAACGUUUUCACCCAGAGAGUUGUGAAUCUGCAGCGAAGGCAAUGGAGGCCAAUUCACUGGAUGUUUUCAAGAGAGAGUUUGAUUUAGCUCUUUUUGACACUGUCGAUAGACACAAAAUGCUGGAGUAACUCAGUGGGUCAGGCAGCAUCCCUGGACAAAAUAAAAUCUUCUUUCCUGCUACUUUCAUAGGCCCAUUAACAUAAAAACACAAUAAUAUACAUUAAUCAAUAAUGCACUAAAUUAAUAAUCAGUAUCUGCAAAUGGAAAACAGACGUCUGCAGUGCAACAAAAAUCAAAUCCUUGAAAUGAGUCACAAACUUAAAUACCACUGACAAAUUCCCAACACAUAUUUCGAUUCCAAGUCUCAGGACGCAAGUGGGAAUAUACAUAUUCCUUCUCGGUGAAGCUGUGUGAAUUUUUUUUGUGAAUUUGCAUUUCCUGAAGGAAAAGAGUGUUCUAAAGCAAUGGUUAAAAUGCCAUCUUAGCUGGGACGAUUUCUAGUGUUAGAAAUAUAUAUACACUGCGACAGAGAUAUCUGUCUUGAUAAACUCCCGUACACUUGCUCAAAGUCUUUUUAGGGCAACACAGGGUUUAACAUCACACCCAAAAGGCAGCACCUCCAUCAGUGUAGAAAUGCCUGGUUACGGAACUGGUUUGUUGACCACGAGUUUUAUAUUCCAGUCUCUAGAAUGGGACCUCAAAUGGGAAGAGGUGAAAUGUUUUCCUUCAGUGUGCUGAGGAACAGUGACAAGCUUUCUUAUUCUACCAUGGAGUACAACUUCUAACAUAGAGUACAAUACUUCCCUCUCACAAAUAUGUGCAGGUAAAAAAAUCAUGCCUCCCUCCGUCCAAUAAACCACUGAGAAACUGUAAUUCCAGGGAUUGAAUGUCUGCAGUGUAUCUUUUAAUCUUACCGAAAGAGUUACUUGGAAAGAAAGAGGAAUCUAUGCUGGAGUGGUCAUGUCAUUAGUGAUAUGAGCUGAAUUAGACCAUUUGGCCCAUCAAAUCUACUCCGCCAUUCAAUCAUGGCUGAUCUAUCUCUCCCUCCUAACCCCAUUCUCCUGCCUUAUCCCCAU